AUGACUGCUAUUCUCGGCACUCUCUGGUUCGAUCUUCUCAAAACUAGACACUUCCUUGCUGGUAAUCCCAUGUUCGCUACGGCGUCUCGUGGGUCACAGUUUUGGAAAGACCUGGUUAGGGUGAGGGAUCUGUUUCUUGAGCAUGUCAAGUUCGUGGUCAAGAAUGGUGCCUCUACUCUUUUUUGGUUGGAUUGGUGGUCCGGCGAUUCCUCGCUUGGGUCUUCUUUUCCGGUUUUGAUUUCUUAUUGCUCUAACCUGGAGAUCUCAAUCUCUGAGCUCCCUCGUAAUAAUUGGGACUUGGGCUUCCAGAGAUCUCUUUCUCCCGAAGAGUUGGGGGAUUGGCACCGUCUUGCUGCUUUGUUUCCUGUUCUCUCGAAGGAGGAGGACUCCGUGUCCUGGCCUCAUGUCGCGUCUCGGAAGUUUUCUGUCAAGUCAUUGUAUGCUAGGAUUAUUUCUGGUACUCCUUCCUCCAAGUUUAAGCAAAUUUGGGCUGCCAGGAUCCCCCCCAAGAUCAAGAUUUUUCUUUGGCAAGCCUUUAGGGGGCGGUUGCCUUCCCGGGAUCAGAUUUGGAAAAGGAAUGACCCCGGCUCGGCUUACUGUGCUUUAUGUUCUGCCCUGGAAGACACUAAUCAUAUUUUCUUUGGAUGUGCUUUGGCCAAGUUGUUGUGGGGGUGUGUUCGUUCCUGGCGGAACACCUCAUGGGCCCCCGGCUUGUUCUCAGACAUGCGUCUGUUGAUGGCUAACUUACAGGGACGGUCCAGGAGGCUGUUUUGGAUUGGGCCGGGUGCUCUUUGCUGGUCCUUAUGGACUACCAGAAACAAAUUCACCAUUGAGGGUGCUUUUUCUAAUAAGCCUGCUGAUGUCCUGUUUAAAAUGUCUAUCUUCUUGUAG
rnacentral:rRNA from 1 species